GCCAGGCGAGGUGGUGCGUGCCUGUAGUCCCAGCUAGUCGGGAGGCUGAGAUGGGAGGAUCGCCUGAGCCCAGGAGUUCUGGGCUGUAGUGCACUAUGCCAAUCAGGUGUCCGCAUUAAGUUUGGCAUCAAUAUGGUGACCUCCUGGGAGUGGGGGAACCACCAGGUUGCCUAAGGAGGGGUGACCUGGCCCAGGUUGGAAAUGGAGCAGGUCAAAACUCCUGUGCUGAUCAGUAGGGGGAUCGCACCUGUGAAUAGCCACUGCACUCCAGCCUGGGCAAUGCAGUCAGACCCCGUCUCU
rnacentral:SRP_RNA from 1 species